rnacentral:rRNA from 1 species
GAUGAACGCUGGCGGCGUGCCUAAUACAUGCAAGUCGAGCGAACGGACGAGAAGCUUGCUUCUCUGAUGUUAGCGGCGGACGGGUGAGUAACACGUGGAUAACCUACCUAUAAGACUGGGAUAACUUCGGGAAACCGGAGCUAAUACCGGAUGAUAUUUUGAACCGCAUGGUUCAAAAGUGAAAGACGGUCUUGCUGUCACUUAUAGAUGGAUCCGCGCUGCAUUAGCUAGUUGGUAAGGUAACGGCUUACCAAGGCAACGAUGCAUAGCCGACCUGAGAGGGUGAUCGGCCACACUGGAACUGAGACACGGUCCAGACUCCUACGGGAGGCAGCAGUAGGGAAUCUUCCGCAAUGGGCGAAAGCCUGACGGAGCAACGCCGCGUGAGUGAUGAAGGUCUUCGGAUCGUAAAACUCUGUUAUUAGGGAAGAACAUAUGUGUAAGUAACUGUGCACAUCUUGACGGUACCUAAUCAGAAAGCCACGGCUAACUACGUGCCAGCAGCCGCGGUAAUACGUAGGUGGCAAGCGUUAUCCGGAAUUAUUGGGCGUAAAGCGCGCGUAGGCGGUUUUUUAAGUCUGAUGUGAAAGCCCACGGGCUCAACCGUGGAGGGUCAUUGGAAACUGGAAAACUUGAGUGCAGAAGAGGAAAGUGGAAUUCCAUGUGUAGCGGUGAAAUGCGCAGAGAUAUGGAGGAACACCAGUGGCGAAGGCGACUUUCUGGUCUGUAACUGACGCUGAUGUGCGAAAGCGUGGGGAUCAAACAGGAUUAGAUACCCUGGUAGUCCACGCCGUAAACGAUGAGUGCUAAGUGUUAGGGGGUUUCCGCCCCUUAGUGCUGCAGCUAACGCAUUAAGCACUCCGCCUGGGGAGUACGACCGCAAGGUUGAAACUCAAAGGAAUUGACGGGGACCCGCACAAGCGGUGGAGCAUGUGGUUUAAUUCGAAGCAACGCGAAGAACCUUACCAAAUCUUGACAUCCUUUGACAACUCUAGAGAUAGAGCCUUCCCCUUCGGGAGGGACAAAGUGACAGGUGGUGCAUGGUUGUCGUCAGCUCGUGUCGUGAGAUGUUGGGUUAAGUCCCGCAACGAGCGCAACCCUUAAGCUUAGUUGCCAUCAUUAAGUUGGGCACUCUAAGUUGACUGCUGGUGACAAACCGGAGGAAGGUGGGGAUGACGUCAAAUCAUCAUGCCCCUUAUGAUUUGGGCUACACACGUGCUACAAUGGACAAUACAAAGGGCAGCGAAACCGCGAGGUCAAGCAAAUCCCAUAAAGUUGUUCUCAGUUCGGAUUGUAGUCUGCAACUCGACUACAUGAAGCUGGAAUCGCUAGUAAUCGUAGAUCAGCAUGCUACGGUGAAUACGUUCCCGGGUCU